UUGACGGGCCCGCACAAGCAGCGGAGCGUGUGGUUUAAUUCGAUGAUACACGAAGAACCUUACCAGGGUUUGACAUGCCAGUGGUAGGGAUCCGAAAGGUGACCGACCCUCGGGGAGCUAGCACAGGUGCUGCAUGGCUGUCGUCAGCUCGUGUCGUGAGAUGUUCGGUUAAGUCCGCUAACGAGCGCAACCCUUGCUGUGUGUUACAUGUGUCACACGGGACUGCCGGUCUUAAACCGGAGGAAGGUGGGGAUGACGUCAAGUCAGCAUGGCCUUUAUGUCCUGGGCUACACACACGCUACAAUGGCCGGUACAAUAGGUUGCGAAGCCGCGAGGCGGAGCCAAUCCUCAAAGCCGGCCUCAGUUCAGAUUGCAGGCUGCAACCCGCCUGCAUGAAGAUGGAGUUGCUAGUAACCGCAGGUCAGCUAUACUGCGGUGAAUACGUUCCCGGGGCUU
rnacentral:rRNA from 1 species